rnacentral:misc_RNA from 1 species
GAUGAAGAACGCAGCGAAAUGCGAUAAGUAAUGUGAAUUGCAGAAUUCAGUGAAUCAUCGAAUCUUUGAACGCACAUUGCGCCCUCUGGUAUUCCGGAGGGCAUGCCUGUUCGAGCGUCAUUAUCACCCCUCAAGCCCGGCUUGUUGUUGGAUGCAGCGCUUAUCCCGCUCCUCCCAAAGAUAAUGACGGCGUCUGCGACGACUCCUGUACACUGAGCUUUCGGGCACGUACACGGCUAGAAGUCCAGACCCGGUCGCCGUCCCCCCCCGCGGGGGACACCCAUUACCACAAGGUUGACCUCGGAUCAGGUAGGAAUACCCGCUGAACUUAAGCAUAUCAAUAAGCGGAGGA